UACGGGGGGAGCAAGCGUUGUUCGGAUUUACUGGGCGUAAAGGGCGCGUAGGCGGCCACUGCAAGUCAGUUGUGAAAUCUCCGGGCUUAACCCGGAAAGGUCAACUGAUACUGCAGGGCUAGAGUGCAGAAGGGGCAACUGGAAUUCUCGGUGUAGCGGUGAAAUGCGUAGAUAUGACAUAGAACACCAAUUGCGAAGGCAGCUCGCUACACGAAUAUUGACUCUGAGGCACGAAAGCGUGGGGAUCAAACAGG
rnacentral:rRNA from 1 species